GCGGGAGUGUCGGAACAGGUAGACGAUCUGCUCUCAAAAAGCAGUGGGCUUGUGCCCGUGUGGGUUCGAAUCCCACCUCCCGCACCU
rnacentral:tRNA from 1 species